rnacentral:tRNA from 1 species
AAUUAAUGAGCUUGAUAUAAGCAUAAGUUUUGAAAACUUAAGAAAGAAACUACUUUUCUAUUAAUUU